CAAUGAAGUAGAGGCCGCGGCUUUUAUGAGUACGGUAAACGAGACGCAGAGCACGUCAAUGACUUUACCGGAAAGGAAAAGCUGCCGAAGUCUGGGCAUUUCUCUGGAUGCUCAGGCUGGGGUUGUCGCCGAAUAGGGACAACACUGUCAUACUUGCAUAAACCAUGCGGGUAUGGAGCGCUAUCUUCAUG
rnacentral:ncRNA from 2 species